GGAUGGAUGUCUGAGCGGUUGAAAGAGUCGGUCUUGAAAACCAAAGUAUUGAUAACAAUACCAGGGGUUCGAAUCCCUCUCCAUUUG
rfam:Citrus clementina cultivar Clemenules unplaced genomic scaffold scaffold_3, whole genome shotgun sequence.